AAACUAACAAGGAUUCCCCUAGUAACGGCGAGUGAACCGGGAAGAGCUCAAAUUUGAAAUCUGGCGUCCUCAGGGCGUCCGAGUUGUAAUCUAUAGAGGCGUUUUCCGUGCCGGACCGUGUCCAAGUUCCUUGGAACAGGAUAUCAAAGAGGGUGACAAUCCCGUACUUGACACGACGACCGGUGCUCUGUGAUACGUCUUCUACGAGUCGAGUUGUUUGGGAAUGCAGCUCAAAAUGGGUGGUGAGUUCCAUCUAAAGCUAAAUAUUGGCGAGAGACCGAUAGCGAACAAGUACCGUGAGGGAAAGAUGAAAAGCACUUUGGAAAGAGAGUUAAACAGUACGUGAAAUUGUUGAAAGGGAAACGAUUGAAGUCAGUCGUGACCGAGAGGCUCAGCCGGUUCUGCCGGUGUAUUCCCCUCGGUCGGGUCAACAUCAGUUUUGUCCGGUGGAUAAGGGCGGUAGGAAGGUGGCACCCUCGGGUGUGUUAUAGCCUGCCGUCGCAUACAUCGGGUGAGACUGAGGAACGCAGCUCGCCUUUAUGGCCGGGGUUCGCCCACGUCCGAGC
rnacentral:rRNA from 1 species